CGGCGGACGGGUGAGUAACGCGUGGGUAACCUGCCUCAUACAGGGGGAUAACAGUUAGAAAUGGCUGCUAAUACCGCAUAAGACCACAGUACUGCAUGGUACAGUGGUAAAAACUCCGGUGGUAUGAGAUGGACCCGCGUCUGAUUAGGUAGUUGGUGAGGUAACGGCCCACCAAGCCGACGGUCAGUAGCCGACCUGAGAGGGUGACCGGCCACAUUGGGACUGAGACACGGCCCAG
rnacentral:rRNA from 1 species